GUGAACUGAUACUAAUAUAUGGAUAAUCAUAGAUAAUAGAGGAAAGAAAGGACCUCAGAAUUUGAUUAAUCUACAUCGAUUUGGGGUCAGUUUAAACAAAAAUGGAUAUACUUUAAAAGCAAAUACACAACUAACAUACUUCUUUAUCUUAAUGUGACGAAAGAAUGCAGAAAAAAAAUCCUUAUCAGGAUGCUGCGCCCGCAUUUCUUUUCUUUCUCCAACAGGUGGCCUCAGCGACCCAAUGUACUUGAACGGACCUUGCAAUGAUUUUAUAAUCUACCCCUUCAUUUCAAUAAACUUCACCAGAUAUAAAUAAGACUCUGGAAAAUAACUACAGCAAGGCUUAACGGUGAACGGGAUGCGUGAUGAUUUUCUCGUGAAACCUGUUGUGUCAUAAAGCAGUGACCGAGAUCGGUCGCCAAAGGGCCACAGUCACGCGCUUUCAUUCCCAUCGCACUUACUCCUGAAUGGGACAACGUCAGAGCGCCGGUGUGGAAGCGAGCCAGAGGUCUUCGGGAUUUGGCCGCAGAUGCGCACUGUGGCUGCAGGAGGACGCAGCGAGAGCGCUGAGUGACAUUUGAAUCCGGUGGUGUGUAUUAUUAAAUCACAGCAACAGUCAGCGAGCUGGCUUCCAGGGAGGACACAGGACUGUGCAUUUAUUUGUGUUUGCAGGAAAUGGGGUCUGGAUGCUCUUUGGAGGGACUUUACACUGGGAAGUUCGGAUGGAAGCGGUGGGACGUUUGUUUUUAGAUGUGGUAUCAAGCUGCAGCUGACCGCACACUUCAUCUGGCUACUGAUGUGUUCUGUAAGCAGACAGAGGAUUCCUGAGAUUACAUUGGGUUUGGGGCUAAAACAGAACAAGCAGAAGAGAAUCAGUGACUACACCACUGCACUGAGGAAUUAAGGUACAACUACCUCUUCAUCAGUGCAGCUCAGAUGAUGUCAAACCUAUUUUACAAGGUCAGAGGGCAAAUGUCUGUCCCAGAGAGCAUUUGCCUAAAAUGUCUCAUCUUUCAUCAUUUAUCAGAAGAUAAAUUGAUGGAGACUUUUUGCAGUGAUGGAGAACAGGAGCCUCAUAGAAACUAGUGGAUAAAAUGUAGCAAGACUCUUCAGUAUGACAUAAGCACAGAACCCCUUCCUCCCCAA
rnacentral:lncRNA from 1 species